rnacentral:rRNA from 1 species
UGAGGAAUUUUGCGCAAUGGGAGCAAUCCUGACGCAGCAACGCCGCGUGGGUGAUGAAGGACUUCGGGUCGUAAAGCCCUGUCAGGUGGGAAGAAUGUACCGGGACUGAACAGGUUCCGGGAGUGACGGUACCACCAGAGGAAGCACCGGCUAACUCCGUGCCAGCAGCCGCGGUAAUACGGAGGGUGCAAGCGUUAUUCGGAAUUACUGGGCGUAAAGCGCGUGUAGGCGGUCCUGCAAGUCUGAUGUGAAAGCCCCGGGCUUAACCCUGGAAGUGCAUUGGAAACUGUGGGACUUGAGUACUGGAGAGGAUGGGGUAAUUCCCGGUGUAGAUGUGAAAUUCGUAGAGAUCGGGAGGAAUAUCAGUGGCGAAGGCGCCCAUCUGGACGGUAACUGACGCUGAGACGCGAAAGCGUGGGGAGCAAACA